GGGCUAUAGCUCAGUGGUAGAUUAUCUGCCUUGCAUGCAGAAGGUCUCAGGUUCAAUUCCCCGGCAUCUCCA